ensembl:lncRNA
AAAAAAGGUACACCAGCUACUCACAAAGCUGAGUCAGUGACUGUAAAAAGAUGAGUUUGUGGAGCAGUGCUGAGCUGGACUAGAGAGAUCACUGUGACAUUUAGUGGUUACAAUACCACUGGAACAGCAACCAACUCCUCCAGAGGAAGUGGUAAUGUGCUUACUCAAAUUUUCUGCCCUCCCUCAGGUUCCUGACUUCACAAUCUGAAAGUCUUCAGCAGGCUGAAAUCCGGAGACAAUAAUGCUCCUCCACUUCCUUACACAGGAAGCUUUAAAUUACAAGGAUGAAUUAUUUUAAUUGCUACUCUUUGGAUCCUCUGCUUGAACUGUUGGUAAACAUCUAUGACAAAACAUAUGGAGGUUGAAGUGCUAGCUGUGUCAGACCAGUAGGUUUGCAGCCACUGUCUUAUAAACUUUGCACCCAGUGUAUUUGGUAAAGACUUUAAGAAGUGGAAAUAUUCAUAAAGAACUUGUAGGCUGCAGCUUUAUGUCGUGACAUUAGCGAACUGCCCAUAAAUUAACCAGCAUGUGUCAUCAGUAAGCAAGACUCAAAGAUAGGGAGCAAGCUCUGAAUUGCUACAAUAGAAAAUCAGAGACCUCACAGUGCUAAGUCUGUUUAAAUUAUUCUUAUUUUUACCUCCUUCUGUUGUGAGUGCUUCUACAGAUUAGUAAACAGAAAAAGUUCAAGCUCGUAUUCUGUCUCCAAACAUGUUCAGAUUAUGAAUUUUUGGAGCUCCUGAAAUAAGAAUUUGGGUCAACAUUGCUCUUGCUAAGAAAUACUUACAUUACAGUAGAAUUUUAAGGCAACAUUCCUCAUUGCAAAGAUGACAAAUCACAUCCCCCAGCACAGGAGAUGUGUGCCACAAGGAAAGAAGUGCCCUGGGAUCAUCUCUGAGCCUUGCUCACAUUGCUAACAGCAGCCCAUUCUAGGUGGCUGUGUGUUACACAUGGGUCAGGAGGAGAGAGGGUACACACCUCACCCCCACCUUCACCAGCGAUAAGCUCAGCUGCCUGCUGGCAUCCUUCAAAUGUCAAAAUCCUUGCAUCUACCAGGUCAGAUCCGCUAUAGCUUGUGUUUUUCCUUUUUAAUCUUAAGUUACUGCAGCUUCCACAGGCAAGCCUGAUUAGAGAGGACAGGAGUGGAAAGAGAAGGAGGUGAGAGUUCCCACUGCCCAGUGAGAGCUCAGUCAGUAAAAGCCUUCCCGUUUCUUUCAGCAGAGGAUGCAGCUAAAGCUUCUUUCCUCCCUUUUGCCAUUGGUUUGUAUCCCACCUUCUGAAAUCCGCAGCAUCAGAGAUCCCUAUGGCCUUCUUGCCUUUAGGGCAUGAGCAGAGUGCCAUGCUGCUGUGUGUGUCUUCUCAAGUGGCAGCUCAUAAUAGUAAACAUCAAUCUCUUCUGUAAAGCAUUUUACCCACUAUAGAGCUGAAGAGAAGGGCAUGUUUUGCUGCCUCUUUCACAGACAGGAAAACUUUGGUACAAAGGAGGUCAGCUUGACUUACCAAUAGUCAUCCAGCAAGCAGAAACGGAGUUUCUCUGAGUUGUACUGACCACAACUGAGGUAUCUAAGGGCUCUAUUUCACUUUUGAAUAGGUUGUCAUUACAGCAAGAAGCCAGCAUAUGCUGAAGGACUGAACAAACAGCCCUUUGUUUGACAUCAGUGUUUUACUACAGUUAAAUUUUGAGCAAUGUGGUGCCAUGCACAGAGAUGCUGAACAAAAACUGUGUAAGCUGCAGUGUUAUUUGAACUUGCAGGCUGCAAUGGGAAGGCAAGAGGAUCGCAGUGAGCAGAUGCACAAGUUCCAGCUGACAACUGAGUGCAAGCACAGCAGAUGGUGACAAGGCAGCAGCAGCAAAAAGAUGAAACUGUCAAACGUAAAGCUCAGCCUAAAGGCAGCUCUACCAGAGUUUAUUAUCAGUGGCGCUGAGUUCCCCAAUUUCUGUUUAUAGAAGGCUCUUUGGUACACUGCACUAUCUUCUGUGUUCUGCAGUUUGCUUCUGCGAGGCAGCAAGUGUCCCUUUCGAGAAGCCAGCACUGAGCAUGCAGGCACAUGGGGAGGAAGGGUUCUGCCUGCCUAUCUCCUCCUGCCCAGCCUCUUUUCAGGCUUGAAAUGUUCCCAGCUGGACUGUGCUGGUGCUUUACAAGGGAGGUGGGUGUACUCAGAAGAGGUGCUAAACAAGACUGUUAUCUCUACUCAGUGAAUGGUUUACUGCAGCUGUGAAAUGCCAGAUGGAAAAUCAGGAUGCUCCAAGCACACUUGUGUUAGUAAAACAAACCAAGAUACAAGAAUUAGAGGAAUGAGUUAAGUCCAGCAAUCCUCAUCCAUUUCCCAUGUAACUAUUUAAUCACAAACCUGAACAGAUGAUUUCUAUGGAUUCCAUAGAAAGGGAAGCAGUCACAAACUGUCCUUAGCUUCAUUAGCAAAUAUUCUGGAGAAGGCAGGAAGCAGUCCUAACCUAAUUGUGCUAUAGCCUGAUGCCAAAUAAUUAUAUAUCCAAUAG